GACGAACGCUGGCGGCGUGCCUAAUACAUGCAAGUCGAGCGAAGUUUUUCUGGUGCUUGCACUAGAAAAACUUAGCGGCGAACGGGUGAGUAACACGUAAAGAACCUGCCUCAUAGACUGGGACAACUAUUGGAAACGAUAGCUAAUACCGGAUAACAGUAUUUCUCGCAUGAGAGAUAUUUAAAAGUUGGUUAUGCUAACACUAUGAGAUGGCUUUGCGGUGCAUUAGCUAGUUGGUGGGGUAAAGGCCCACCAAGGCGACGAUGCAUAGCCGACCUGAGAGGGUGAUUGGCCACACUGGGACUGAGACACGGCCCAGGCUCCUACGGGAGGCAGCAGUAGGGAAUCUUCCGCAAUGGGCGAAAGCCUGACGGAGCAACGGCGCGUGAGUGAAGAAGGAUUUCGGUUCGUAAAGCUCUGUUGUUAGGGAAGAAUGGAUAUGUAGUAACUAUACAUGUAAGAGACGGUACCUAACCAGAAAGCCACGGCUAACUACGUG
rnacentral:rRNA from 1 species